rnacentral:lncRNA from 1 species
CGUUAGAGACUAUUAAGCCUGUAUUCAAGUCUAAUGUAAUUGUUCUAAGUGAAUGUCACUUUUGUCUUUUUUUUUAUGAAUAUUAUUUCUGUAGGCUUUUUGGUCAUAUACGGUUAUGAAAUUUUAAUAAAAAAAUAAUUUUAAUAUCAUUAUGAAUAGUAUUAAUAUGAUAAAUGAAUAGUUGAAUACUGAUAUUUACAUAUU